UGGGGAAUAUUGGACAAUGGGCGAAAGCCUGAUCCAGCCAUGCCGCGUGUGUGAAGAAGGUCUUCGGAUUGUAAAGCACUUUAAGUUGGGAGGAAGGGCAGUAAGCGAAUACCUUGCUGUUUUGACGUUACCGACAGAAUAAGCACCGGCUAACUCUGUGCCAGCAGCCGCGGUAAUACAGAGGGUGCAAGCGUUAAUCGGAAUUACUGGGCGUAAAGCGCGCGUAGGUGGUUCGUUAAGUUGAAUGUGAAAGCCCCGGGCUCAACCUGGGAACUGCAUCCAAAACUGGCGGGCUAGAGCAGGGCAGAGGGUGGUGGAAUUUCCUGUGUAGCGGUGAAAUGCGUAGAUAUAGGAAGGAACACCAGUGGCGAAGGCGACCACCUGGGCUCAUACUGACACUGAGGUGCGAAAGCGUGGGGAGCAAACAGG
rnacentral:rRNA from 1 species